rnacentral:rRNA from 1 species
UAGGGUGCGAGCGUUGUCCGGAAUUACUUGGCGUAAAGAGCUCGUAGGUGGUUUGUCGCGUCGUCUGUGAUAUUCCGGGGCUUAACUCCGGGCGUGCAGGCGAUACGGGCAUAACUUGAGUACUGUAGGGGAGACUGGAAUUCCUGGUGUAGCGGUGAAAUGCGCAGAUAUCAGGAGGAACACCGGUGGCGAAGGCGGGUCUCUGGGCAGUAACUGACGCUGAGGAGCGAAAGCAUGGGUAGCGAA